rnacentral:rRNA from 1 species
CAAUAGCGUAUAUUUAAGUUGCUGCAGUUAAAAAGCUCGUAGUUGGAUUUCGGGUGGGAAUGGCCGGUCCGCCGUUUCGGUGUGCACUUGCUACGCCCACCUUGCUGCCGGGGACGUGCUCUUGAGUUCACGCUCGGGACACGGAGUCGGCGAGGUUACUUUGAGUAAAUUAGAGUGUUCAAAGCAGGCCUACGCUCUGAAUACAUUAGCAUGGAAUAACACGAUAGGACUCUGGCCUAUCUUGUUGGUCUGUAGGACCGGAGUAAUGAUUAAGAGGGACAGUCGGGGGCACUCGUACUUCAUUGUCAGAGGUGAAAUUCUUGGAUUUAUGAAAGACGAACUACUGCGAAAGCAUUUGCCAAGGAUGUUUUCAUUAA